rnacentral:rRNA from 1 species
UAGCCUACGGGACGCAGCAGUGGGGAAUAUUGCACAAUGGGGGAAACCCUGAUGCAGCGACGCCGCGUGGGCGAGGAAGUACCUCGGUAUGUAAAGCCCUAUCAGCAGGGAAGAAACAGGACAGUACCUGACUAAGAAGCCCCGGCUAACUACGUGCCAGCAGCCGCGGUAAUACGUAGGGGGCAAGCGUUAUCCGGAUUCACUGGGCGUAAAGGGAGCGUAGACGGCAGCGCAAGUCUGGAGUGAAAUGCCGGGGCCCAACCCCGGAACUGCUCUGGAAACUGUGAAGCUGGAGUGCAGGAGAG